AUACGUAGGGUGCAAGCGUUAAUCGGAAUUACUGGGCGUAAAGCGUGCGCAGGCGGUUUUGUAAGGCAAAGGUGAAAUCCCCGGGCUCAACCUGGGAACUGCCUUUGUGACUGCAAGGCUAUAGUACGGCAGAGGGGGAUGGAAUUCCGCGUGUAGCAGUGAUAUGCGUAGAUAUGCGGAGGAACACCGAUGGCGAAGGCAAUCCCCUGGGCCUGUACUGACGCUCAUGCACGAAAGCGUGGGGAGCAAACAGGAUUAGAUACCCUGGUAGUCCACGCCCUAAACGAUGUCAACUGGUUGUUGGGUCUUCAUUGACUCAGUAACGAAGCUAACGCGUGAAGUUGACCGCCUGGGGAGUACGGCCGCAAGGUUGAAACUCAAAUGAAUUGACGGGG
rnacentral:rRNA from 1 species